GAUGAACGCUAGCUACAGGCUUAACACAUGCAAGUCGAGGGGCAGCACAGAGAUAGCUUGCUAUCUUGGGUGGCGACCGGCGCACGGGUGCGUGACGCGUAUCGAACCUGCCCUAUACUCAGGGAUAGCCUUGCGAAAGUAAGAUUAAUACCUGAUGUUGUUAUUAUUCGCAUGUUUGAAUAACGAAAGAUUUAUUGGUAUAGGAUGGCGAUGCGUGGCAUUAGGUAGUAGGCGGGUAACGGCCCACCUAGUCGACGAUGCCUAGGGGUUCUGAGAGGAGGGUCCCCCACACUGGAACUGAGACACGGUCCAG
rnacentral:rRNA from 1 species